CAUCUCUUACAUCGUUAACAUCAUGCGAGAGCGCAACGUGCGAUCUUCUCGUAAGAUGCUCAAUAUAUCAAGAACGGCCACUUAGUUUCGCGAUGUAUCUGCCCGAUGAUGCCUUUUCGACGUGAAAACAAAGGCUUGGGGAAAUAAAAACAGUCAUGCGCGACACUGUAAAAACAUUAAUAAGCCGCUGAGGACGUCUUUGAGAAGGUUAAGAAAUCUGUCGUACCGACGAGAUACGCGAGCACGUGAUGGAAGUGUGUAAUACGCAAAAAUAUAAAAUCCUGCAUAUGUAUAAUUAUAUACGAUCAGUAAUGAUUUAUGAUCCCGCCGAGCGCGAAAAGCAGGAAGUGAUGUGCGAAGCUUCGUGCGACGUGGAAAGCUAAAAAUUCAUCAAAAGCUGCAUAACGGAUUGUUAUACAAUUCCAAAUGGGCUCCCAACCUUUCAACACACAAAGCAAAGUCCAUCAUUGUCUUUUCUCGUUUAUGACGAACAGCGAGAUUGUUAUACUAUAAAUUACGUGCGUCAUUA